CGCUUCUUUUUCCACCGGAGCUUGCUCCACCGGAAAAAGAGGAGUGGCGAACGGGUGAGUAACACGUGGGUAACCUGCCCACCAGAAGGGGAUAACACUUGGAAACAGGUGCUAAUACCGUAUAACAAUCAAAACCGCAUGGUUUUGAUUUGAAAGGCGCUUUCGGGUGUCGCUGAUGGAUGGACCCGCGGUGCAUUAGCUAGUUGGUGAGGUAACGGCUCACCAAGGCCACGAUGCAUAGCCGACCUGAGAGGGUGAUCGGCCACAUUGGGACUGAGACACGGCCCAAACUCCUACGGGAGGCAGCAGUAGGGAAUCUUCGGCAAUGGACGAAAGUCUGACCGAGCAACGCCGCGUGAGUGAAGAAGGUUUUCGGAUCGUAAAACUCUGUUGUUAGAGAAGAACAAGGAUGAGAGUAACUGUUCAUCCCUUGACGGUAUCUAACCAGAAAGCCACGGCUAACUACGUGCCAGCAGCCGCGGUAAUACGUAGGUGGCAAGCGUUGUCCGGAUUUAUUGGGCGUAAAGCGAGCGCAGGCGGUUUCUUAAGUCUGAUGUGAAAGCCCCCGGCUCAACCGGGGAGGGUCAUUGGAAACUGGGAGACUUGAGUGCAGAAGAGGAGAGUGGAAUUCCAUGUGUAGCGGUGAAAUGCGUAGAUAUAUGGAGGAACACCAGUGGCGAAGGCGGCUCUCUGGUCUGUAACUGACGCUGAGGCUCGAAAGCGUGGGGAGCAAACAGGAUUAGAUACCCUGGUAGUCCACGCCGUAAACGAUGAGUGCU
rnacentral:rRNA from 1 species